UACGGGAGGCAGCAGUGGGGAAUAUUGCACAAUGGGCGCAAGCCUGAUGCAGCCAUGCCGCGUGUAUGAAAAAGGCCUUCGGGUUGUAAAGUACUUUCAGUCGUGAGGAAGGUGUUAAGGUUAAUAACCUUAGCAAUUGACGUUAGCGACAGAAGAAGCACCGGCUAACUCCGUGCCAGCAGCCGCGGUAAUACGGAGGGUGCGAGCGUUAAUCGGAAUUACUGGGCUAAAGGGCACGCAGGCGGUUAAUUAAGUUGGAUGUGAAAUCCCCGGGCUUAACCUGGGAAUGGCAUUCAAGACUGGUUAGCUAGAGUCUUGUAGAGGGGGUUAGAAUUCCAUGUGUAGCGGUGAAAUGCGUAGAGAUGUGGAGGAAUACCGGUGGCGAAGGCGGCCCCUGGACAAAGACUGACGCUCAUGUGCGAAAGCGUGGGGAGCAAACAGGGAUUAGAUACCCGU
rnacentral:rRNA from 1 species